rnacentral:rRNA from 1 species
ACGCGAAGAACCUUACCUACCCUUGACAUGGUCGGAAUCCUGCUGAGAGGUGGGAGUGCUCGAAAGAGAACCGGCGCACAGGUGCUGCAUGGCUGUCGUCAGCUCGUGUCGUGAGAUGUUGGGUUAAGUCCCCGCAACGAGCGCAACCCUUGUCCUUAGUUGCUACGCAAGAGCACUCUAAGGAGACUGCCGGUGACAAACCGGAGGAAGGUGGGGAUGACGUCAAGUCCUCAUGGCCCUUAUGGGUAGG